CCUUUGACGUUAGCGGCGGACGGGUGAGUAACACGUGGGUAACCUACCUAUAAGACUGGGAUAACUUCGGGAAACCGGAGCUAAUACCGGAUAAUAUUUCGAACCGCAUGGUUCGAUAGUGAAAGGUUGUUUUGCUAUCACUUAUAGAUGGACCCGCGCCGUAUUAGCUAGUUGGUAAGGUAACGGCUUACCAAGGCGACGAUACGUAGCCGACCUGAGAGGGUGAUCGGCCACACUGGAACUGAGACACGGUCCCAGACUCCUACGGGAGGCAGCAGCA
rnacentral:rRNA from 1 species